GACGAACCGUGCGAACGUUGUUCGGAAUCACUGGGCUUAAAGGGCGCGUAGGCGGGUGUGCAAGUCUGCGGUGAAAGCCUCCAGCUUAACUGGAGAAGUGCCGUGGAUACUGCAUAUCUUGAGGAGGGUAGGGGCAUCUGGAACAUUGGGAGGAGCGGUGAAAUGCGUUGAUAUCCAAUGGAACUCCGGUGGCGAAGGCGAGGUGCUGGACCCUUUCUGACGCUGAGGCGCGAAAGCCAGGGGAGCAAACGGG
rnacentral:rRNA from 1 species